UACGUAGGGUGCAAGCGUUAAUCGGAAUUACUGGGCGUAAAGCGUGCGCAGGCGGUUAUAUAAGACAGUUGUGAAAUCCCCGGGCUCAACCUGGGAACUGCAUCUGUGACUGUAUAGCUAGAGUACGGUAGGGAGGGUAUCGGAUCCGCGUGUAGCAAGUGAAUGCGUAGAUAUGCGGAGAACACCGAUGGCGAAGGCAAUCCCCUGGACCUGUACUGACGCUCAUGCACGAAAGCGUGGGGAGCAAACAGG
rnacentral:rRNA from 1 species